rnacentral:rRNA from 1 species
UACGUAGGGUGCGAGCGUUGUCCGGAAUUACUGGGCGUAAAGAGCGCGUAGGUGGUGGCUUAAGCGUGCGGUGAAAGCUCGGAGCUCAACUCCGAGUCGGCCGUGCGAACUGGGCUCACUGGAGCAUAGUAGAGGCAGGUGGAAUUCCGGGUGUAGCGGUGGAAUGCGUAGAGAUCCGGAAGAACACCGGUGGCGAAGGCGGCCUGCUGGGCUAUGGCUGACACUGAGGCGCGACAGCGUGGGGAGUAAACAGG